CUUCCAAUUUCGGUGUGGUCGCAUUAUUGAUCGCGUUGAAACUGCGUAUGCUAAUGUAGAUCCGACUUGAGUCUCGAGUUUGUAGGUAUGGAGUUGAUUCACCUCUCUAUUGGUUUCUGGCUCUUUGAAUAUAUGUUUCGGUUGCCCCAAUAUUACAUCAUUUAUUUCUGGCAAAUCAAUGUGAUCAUAUAUGGGGAGGACCAUUUUGCAACAAAGAAUUUACAGGGGUUCCCAUUGAAUUAAGAGAUAGAGUUAUAUGUUUGUCAUUCGUGUGUACUAACACCUACUGCUACUCAUGAUUUUGAUGGUGGAGCAAUGUGGGGUCUGUUGACGCUUAAGCAUAGGGGGAGAGCAUAAUGGCGGUUGCAGGCCUCCACCACUUUGGCGCUUCAAAAUUAGAGCUUAGUUGUCGGCCGAUGAAGAAGCUUCUCCUUAGAAGUGGAACGGCCUCCCUUAGGCACCAUGGUUGGGAGGAAAUCGAUGAGUCUGUGAAGCACCGUUGCUCUAAAUGGCCUUGUGCACGUAUCUGUUUCACUUCAAUCUCAGACAUCAUCUCAUGUUUGCUAGAUAUAAGGACCUGUUAGCACGCCGGAUUUAUUGCAUUCAGUAUUAUCAUGUUGUAAACUUGUAAUGGGAGUGGAGUUUUAGCUCCCGGGUUUAAAUGAACUUGUUAUCUGGACCAUUGUUUGGUGCCCUGAGAUUGACGAGUCAGUCAGAGUUGAAUGACAUAUGUGCGUCACUAAUUGCGGAAUACAGUGUAGUUGUCGCA